rnacentral:misc_RNA from 1 species
UUUGGUUUGUCACGUGUGGUUGGCUGCGGCGUUUGCAACAACUUCCAUGCUUUCAGACCUCUUCAGUUGUGCGGCAAGGCUUGUAUCGCCUUGCUGUAUUGUGGGUUUUCUGUGUUGAAUACCUAAUCAAUGGUAUCGGUUGGAUUGAUCANUGUUUCAUUUCGUCUGUCGUCGCAUUCGCGGCGUGAGACGAACCUCGAUGCGGUCUCUUUGGCCCACCUCGUCGAAGCACAUGCUUUGACGUUGUGGCACAUUGAGCAUUGCUUGGUCUCUUGUAUACGGAACAUAUAGUGGGCAUGGAUCUAACGAUUCUUGUUUGCCCUCAUGUUAGCGUAACGCUUCUCUUACACGACUUGCUCCACGUUUUAG